rnacentral:rRNA from 1 species
UGGGGCUAGGGUGGACCGGUCUACCACCGGGAUGUUCAUAGACCCUUUGUUGUCCGACUCUGUUGCCUCCGGGGCGACCCUGCCUUCGGGCGGGGGCUCCGGGUGGACACUUCAAACUCUUGCGUAACUUUGCAGUCUGAGUAAACUUAAUUAAUAAAUUAAAACUUUUAACAACGGAUCUCUUGGUUCUGGCAUCGAUGAAGAACGCAGCGAAAUGCGAUAAGUAAUGUGAAUUGCAGAAUUCAGUGAAUCAUCGAAUCUUUGAACGCACAUUGCGCCCCCUGGUAUUCCGGGGGGCAUGCCUGUUCGAGCGUCAUUUCACCACUCAAGCCUCGCUUGGUAUUGGGCAACGCGGUCCGCCGCGUGCCUCAAAUCGACCGGCUGGGUCUUCUGUCCCCUAAGCGUUGUGGAAACUAUUCGCUAAAGGGUGUUCGGGAGGCUACGCCGUAAAACAACCCCAUUUCUAAGGUUGACCUCGGGAUCAGGUAGGGGAUACCCGGCUGAACUUUAAGCCAUAUCCAUAAGGCGGGAGGA